CCUACGGGAGGCUGCAGUGGGGAAUAUUGGGCAAUGGGCGCAAGCCUGACCCAGCAACGCCGCGUGAAGGAAGAAGGCUUUCUGGUUGUAAACUUCUUUUCUCAGGGACGAAGCAAGUGACGGUACCUGAGGAAUAAGCCACGGCUAACUACGUGCCAGCAGCCGCGGUAAUACGUAGGUGGCAAUCGUUAUCCGGAUUUGCUGGGUGUAAGGGGCGUGUAGGCGGGGACGCAAGUCAGAUGUGAAAACCACGGGGUCAACCUGUGGCCUGCAGUUGAAACUGUGUUUCUUGAGUACUGGAGAGGCAGACGGAAUUCCUAGUGUAGCGGUGAAAUGCGUAGAUAUUAGGAGGAACACCAGUGGCGAAGGCGGUCUGCUGGACAGCAACUGACGCUGAGGCGCGAAAGCGUGGGGAGCAAACAGGAUUAGAUACCCGGGUAGUC
rnacentral:rRNA from 1 species